UCAUAACAGGUUCUAAUGGAAGCUUCCCCAAUUUUGACGGUUCGUUAGUAUCGAAUCUAGCUUUUGCUAGCAGCCUGUAAGCAUUAGGAUCAAAAACCUUCUUCUGUACGCUUCAUUGUGAGUGUUUCAUAUUGGGGUGACUUAGGGGCCACAAAUUUUCCGUGAAGUAAUGACUUAGGAGCCACAGACUUCCGAAGUAAUUUUGUGGAUGACUUCAUCGUAUCAAUUCUCCUUACAGGAAGGGUCAAC
rnacentral:lncRNA from 1 species